rnacentral:lncRNA from 1 species
UAAUUCUCCAAAAUCAGCUUGCUCCUUGUUUCUCAGAGCCUUCAAAUAUGCUAUUUCCUGAAAAGGCAGCCUUUCACACUACUACCCCAUCCAACCCUGACCUCGUACCUUACCCAUCCUUCAGUUUUCAACACAAACUGCACUUCGUUAGGUAACUGGCCUCCUGACUGACCACUCACCACCACUACCACCACCACCAAACACUAGGUCAGUUCUCUAUCACAGAGUCUGUACCAUCCCU